rnacentral:lncRNA from 1 species
UGAUAUGAAGGCUUAUAUAAUUCCAAAUGAAAGGGGGAGCUUUAACUCCGAAAUUUAUUGUUCACACCUUUCAAACUUGGAUAAAUUAAAUUACCAGACAUCUGAAUUCAUUUAUGGAUUUUACUUCCUUGUUUAUAGAGCAAUUCACUUUACAUAUACUCAAUGUUUUGUCAUCAUCAAAAAGGGGGAGAUUGUGGAGUGAUUGAUUAAAACCCUAUUUGAUUUUGAUGAGCCCAAAGCAUUUGAGUAUAUCUCUUGUUUACUAAUGAAUUCAAUUAAGUGUUUCAGUGAAAAUCUUGUCUAAGUGUCUCUAGACUUGGUUCAUAAUAUUUUGAUAAGUUAAGAAGUCAGCUUGAACCAAAGUCUGAGACUCGAGUCGACUCCAGAGUAUCACGAGUCGACUCCAAGCGUAUCAAGUUCACUGGCACAAGCUCGAGUCGACUCCGGAUUAGUACGAGUCGACUCCGACUGAGAACAGACAGACGAACAGAAAGCAUCAACUCAAAACCUGUCAGCGAGUCGACUCCUGAACUGCGCGAGUCGACUCCGAUGUUCACCGAGUCGACUCCAGGGUAGUAUGAGUCGACUCCUAGGAGUCACAGGCAGAAAAGUCAGAGAGCAGUUUUCGGGUCUGAGAUUCGAGUCGACUCCAGUAGAACGCGGGUUGACUCCGAUGGUUGGCAAGUCGACUCCAAAGAAAGUGAGAGUCGACUCUCAGAGGAACACAAGAAAAAAGUCAGAUAACGUUUUUCGGACUCUGAGAUUCGAGUCGACUCCCGCAAUACGCGAGUCGACUCCUAGACACCGCGACCCCAAAGAAGACAGAAGACCAAUCUGCUGUGUCUGAGAGCCGAGUCGACUCCUAGAAAGCUCGAGUCGACUCCAAGGCAGCGGUACACCAAAAGGGCAGAAGACUUAGUUUCGGAAACUGAGAGCCGAGUCGACUCCGGGGAAGUUCGAGUCGACUCCAAGACUGGACGAGCCAAAAGACAGAAAAUCGGGAGUUC